CACGAACCGUGCGAACGUUAUUCGGAAUCACUGGGCUUAAAGCGUGCGUAGGCGGCCUGGAAGGUGGGGUGUGAAAGCCCCCGGCUCAACCGGGGAAUUGCGCUUCAAACCGCCAGGCUGGAGGGAGAUAGAGGUGAGCGGAACUCACGGUGGAGCGGUGAAAUGCGUUGAUAUCGUGAGGAACACCGGUGGCGAAAGCGGCUCACUGGGUCUCUUCUGACGCUGAGGCACGAAAGCUAGGGUAGCGAACGGG
rnacentral:misc_RNA from 1 species